UCUCUGGUAGUGUAUCGGUUAGUAUACGCGCCUGUCAUUACGCUCGUAUUUACCUACGCGCGAAAGCUGGGUUCGACUCCCAGCCAGAGAG